GAUGAACGCUGGCGGCGUGCCUAAUACAUGCAAGUCGAGCGAACAGACGAGGAGCUUGCUCCUCUGACGUUAGCGGCGGACGGGUGAGUAACACGUGGAUAACCUACCUAUAAGACUGGGAUAACUUCGGGAAACCGGAGCUAAUACCGGAUAAUAUAUUGAACCGCAUGGUUCAAUAGUGAAAGACGGUUUUGCUGUCACUUAUAGAUGGAUCCGCGCCGCAUUAGCUAGUUGGUAAGGUAACGGCUUACCAAGGCAACGAUGCGUAUCCGACGUGAGAGGGUGAUCGGCCACACGGGAACGGAGCCACGGUCCAGACUACUACGGGAGGCAGCAGUAGGGAAUCUUACGCAAUGGGCGAAAGCCUGACGGAGCAACGCCGCGUGAGUGAUGAAGGUCUUCGGAUCGUAAAACUCUGUUAUUAGGGAAGAACAAAUGUGUAAGUAACUAUGCACGUCUUGACGGUACCUAAUCAGAAAGCCACGGCUAACUACGUG
rnacentral:rRNA from 1 species